GCCUCUGUAGCUCAGUUGGUUAGAGCGCUGCUCCGGAAUCGCAGGGCCGUAGGUUCAAUUCCUACCAGAGGAC
rnacentral:tRNA from 1 species